rnacentral:rRNA from 1 species
AACGAACGCUGGCAGCAUGCCUAACACAUGCAAGUCGAACGGACUGUAGCAAUACAGUCAGUGGCGAACGGGUGAAUAACGCGUGGGAACCUACCUCGGAGUUCGGAAUAACCGCGGGAAACUGCGGCUAAUACCGGAUACGGCCUGAGGGCGAAAGGAGCAAUCCGCUCCGGGAGGGGCCCGCGUCCGAUUAGCUAGUUGGUGGGGUAACGGCCUACCAAGGCGAUGAUCGGUAGCUGGUCUGAGAGGAUGAUCAGCCACACUGGAACUGCGACACGGUCCAGACUCCUACGGGAGGCAGCAGUGGGGAAUAUUGGACAAUGGGGGAAACCCUGAUCCAGCAAUGCCGCGUGGGUGAUGAAGGCCUUCGGGUUGUAAAGCCCUUUCGGCGGGGACGAUGAUGACGGUACCCGCAGAAGAAGCCCCGGCUAACUUCGUGCCAGCCGCCGCCGUAAUAC